rnacentral:rRNA from 1 species
ACGUAGGGGGCGAGCGUUGUCCGGAAUUACUGGGCGUAAAGAGCACGUAGGCGGGAACUUAAGUCAGGUGUGAAAGACCGGGGCUCAACCUCGGGUAUGCACUUGAAACUGGGUUUCUUGAGUGCAGGUGAGGAAGGCAGAAUUCCUGGUGUAGCGGUGGAAUGCGUAGAGAUCAGGAGGAAUACCAAAGGCGUAGGCAGUUUUCUGGACUGACCUUGACGCUGAUGUGCGAAAGUGUGUGUAUCAAACAG